CUCGCAAUAGACAGCAGAUGUGCAAAGCACUUUGUGCUGACGUCCCUCUACCAUACUUCCUUACAGUCUCCUGGAUCUAAUAUCUGCUCUCACAUAAUAGGCUACUGUACAUCACGAGCUCAUAGUUGUGAGAGAAUCCAACAGCAUGUCUAACCUAACCGAAUGCAACAGGCUUUUUAAAUCUGCACAUUGGUAAAUUUCUCGAUGUCUGUGACUUUUGGACCCCACGUCUUGAGGUUGGAGACCCUCUGUGAUGAUGAACCUGAUCUGAAAGUACCUCUCAUCACCGGCCCUCCCAAGACGACGCCAGCCAUUCAUCUCCCCCCUUCAGGAUUCACAGCCCCCGACCUGAUGACCCUGACCACACAGUAUCCUCUUGCACUAUUUAUAUGCACUUUUCAUAAAUAAACUAGCCACUGAAGCACCAUAAGCACAUGGGCUCAGUGUUUGCCCUCAAAGUAAUUGAAUCUGUGGAUCAGUGAAUUCAAAGUGUUGUGAUUGCUGUUUCUCAACAGUCACAAUCGUAUAACCCUAACAGCAGAUUUUGUGUUCCUAUUUAUUGAUCAUAAGCUUUCGAUCACUGAUGUAGAAAUUACGGACUAUCAACCCUUUACAAGACACUGGCAGAUAUUUUUAUACAGCACAGCAUAGUAAAGUACAAAUCUCAAUAAAUAGGUUUUCAUCUGUUACAUGUCUCCAUUUCUCAAAAACAAUUUACACAGAAGCCAAACUGAUGAAACAAAUGCAAAUAGGUUCUAAAACACAUUACCUAAAUACCCACCUCUUUAUAACGGGACAUACAGUAUGUCUAAUUCUUUAACUUCACUGAAUAAGGAGCCUCUUGUGCUACUGAUGUUGUUAAUUGGUUUCAUAUAUUGUAAAUGUGUUCAAAUUAAAAAAGCUUUUUAUGAUGUGAGUUGUGCUAAGAGUAAACCUACAGUAAAUGUAACACUGACAUUUGCUGUUCUAUGGCUCCCUCUAAUGUUCCACAUACAAAGUGCA